AAGUGUCUAUCUAUCUUUUAUAGUUUUCAAGAUAAUAGGCAAAAACCCAAAAUGAUUGGUACUACUAGGGGGGGGUUUAAAGACCUUGACUACCCAUGAGGGUCUCGCACGGUUGGCCAAAUUUAUUGGUAAAAAUCGUCAUUAUAGAGUAAGAACUCUAAAAAGAAGAUGACUGACGAUUUCAGACAUUUGACCAAUUUGUAGAUCUUGCCUUGCUGAUUCAAAGUGUCUUUUUAUCUAUUAUAGUUUUCAAGAUAAUAGGCAAAAUGCAAAAAAAUGGUAAAAAUCUUCAUUAAAGGGAAAUAACUCAAAUUAGAAUGUUUAAUCUAUUUCUAGAUCUUGUCUUGCUGAUCAUUUUUGCAUUUUUAAGUUUCUAUCUAUCUUUUAUAGUUUUUAAGAUAUAGUUCAAAACUGCAAAAAAUUGGAAAAUAAAUGGAGAAUGUGUCCAUGGGAUACAGAUGAUGCCCCCGCUUGCAUUUAACGUUAUAAAGGGAUAUUACUCAAAAACUGUAAAAGUGACGCUACCCAAAUCAAUUUUGAUCUGUGUUUUGUGGUAAUAAGCAUUGUGUAUACGUUUCAUAACAUUUGGCUGAGGCAAACUAAAGUAAGAGAACGGAAACCAAUUUUGGACAUACGUAGGGACGGAUGUGCGGACUUACAGACGGACAAGGGUAACACUUAAUGCCCCCUCUGCUGUGUCGUUAAAGGGCAAUAACUCCAAGAAGGAGUGGUUUGACAUAAUUUGACUUAUUUGUAGAUCAUGUCUUGCUGAUCAUAUUUGCUAUUCAAAGUUUCUGUCUAUCUAUUAUACUUUGAAGGAUACAACAGAUACAAGUAAGUUUGCCUCAUAUCUUGACUUACAUCUAGAAAUUGACAAUGACGGUCAGUUGAAAACAAAAGUUUAUGACAAAAGAGAUGAUUUCAGCUUCCCAAUUGUGAACUUUCCAUUUCUAUGUAGCAACAUUCCACCAGCGCCUGCAUACAUAGUAUAUAUCUCCUAAUUGAUACGAUAUUCUAGGGCCUGUAUUUCCUAUUAUGAUUUCCUUGAUAGAGGGUUGCUGCUCACAAGGAAGCUAUUAAACCAAGAUUUCCAAGUGGUGAAGUUGAAAUCUUCCCUUCGUAAAUUUUACGGAGGCCAUCACAAGUUGGUUGACCGUUAUGGAAUAUCCGUUUCACAAAUGACAACGGAUAUGUUCCAAUUGUCGUAACUACAAUCCCAUCUCCUUUCUUCCGAAUGUGACCUACCGAAUUAGACUUAUCACCGGGUUUGUACUAACAUGAGCAACACGACAGGUGCUACAUGUGGAGCAGGAUCUGCUUACCCUUCCGAAGCACCUGAGAUAACCCCCAGUUUUUGGUGGGGUUCGUGUUGCUCAGUCUUUGGUUUUCAAUGUUGUGUUUUGUGUACUGUUGUUCCUCUGUUUGUCUUUUUCUUUUUAAGCGUUGUCCGUUUAUUUUCGACUUAUGAGUUUGAAUGUCCCUUUGGUAUCCUUCGCCUCUCUUGAAAGAUAGUAGACAAAAAAGCAAAAUGUAUUUAUAUCAAAAUGUCUUUCAAUUUUUACAUUAAUUCUCAGUAUCACAGCCCAAUGUGUGUACUUUAAAGGUUAGCAAUGUGCUUAACAGCAAAAUUUGACAAAAACAUGUUUAGUUUGCAAUUUUGUAUCAAAAUGCCUUAAACAGCAAUAUGUAGCGCUAAAUAGAAUUUCUAAUUUUUGAAAAUAUGAAAUAUUGGUAAAAAAUAUUUUAAGCAUAUGAAUCAAUUGCCAGUAGGAUAUUACAAUUUUUUUAAUUUUAACCCUGUGAAGGAAACAAAUACAUAGUAAAAUUAGCCCUGCUGCUAUAUGCUUUCUGUCAGUACGUGUGUAUCAAGUAUUUCGUAAUGUCACUUAAAAAUGAUACCUUUAAUUUUUUUGUUUAUAUUGGUCAUGUCGUUUCAGAAAAUGUAAUAGGUGUAAUUUCUAUUAGCAGUCAGAUUUAUAUUUUGCAAAAAUAGUGCCCCAUUCAAUCAAUACAACGGUAGCAAAUGUAGAAGUGAAUAUUCUAAAUAAGAGUUACAAUUUUUUACACAUUGCAUCAUUUCAAUCCAUACUUCAAAGCUGUAUCUGGAAAGACAAAUGUUAGCACAGUUUGAUACAGUUAUAUGCCUUUAUAUUUCUUAAAACUAUGGUCUGAUUGGUUGCCAGAGCAAGUUUUGGAAAGUUCAAUAAACACUAAUAAAAUGCUCCGCAGCUUGAUCAUAUUGUAACGAUCCCAGGGUCGAACCCUGAACAAUUGGGGCAAGUAUGGACACAAAAUUCAAGCUUGAUACAGCUCUGAAUUUGGAUUGUGAUUAAAUAUUUGACACAACAUAGGUUUCUGACGCAGAAUGACUGUGGUCUAAGAACUUAAAAAAUUGAAAUUGGACAUUUACCUAUUAUGGUCCAAUAUCCAAAAUCUAAAUACAUGGUUAGAUUCAGCAUAUCAAAGAACCCCAAGAAUUUAAUUUUUGUAUAAACAAGAAUGCUCAAAGAACGAAUUUGAAACCAAAGGUUGUAUAAGAACAUAAACAGUUGAAGCGCUAUAUGACCAGAAAGAACCUAAAAAUAAUAGCCAAAUCCAUCUAAGGUCAACUUUGUUUGAAGGAGUUGAAACCUUAAUAAUUUCUAAAUUUUUGAAUGGAAAAUAUAAGAAAGGUUGUUAUAAAUUGUGUCAGUACAGACUACUGAGCUGAUGAUACCCUCUGGGACUGAUAGUUCACCAGCAGCGGUACAGACCCAGUGCUGUAAAAAACGAAAACAAAACUUUAUACAUUUCAUGUGCCCAAAGCACUUUUCUGGAAUUACCUUCAUCGGGAACGAUCAAAACAGAAUAUUUAAAAAACCAAGGAUGUAUAGGGGUAAAUUCAGUAAAUAAAUAUACGUCAUCAGGGACCUCCCAUUUGGGGGAGAGCUUUCUGUAUAACACUAAGUCCUGUGCUCUUCUGAUUGGUAGAUAAUUUUUGUUAUAAAUAUUUUUUGAUAGAUGGAUCAAAACUAGAGUUAAAAUUUUUUUUACAAUGAAUGCUGAAUGCACUGAAUUUUUUUACUACAUUUAUACUUAAUAAAAGAACAAAGUUCCAAUGUCUCCCGCAUUGCACAUAUUUUAGCUAACCAAGGUACAAGGGCAAUAACUAAAUUAAACACAUUUUUUUGUUCUUUAAAACUUUUUAUCAAUAUCUUAAAAAGAAAUGAAGGCUUCAGAGCAAAUGCAAUGUGAUUUCCAUUAUGAUUUAUAUUUCUAAGGGGCAUAACCCCAAAAAAAUUUGAUCAGAACUUAUUUUCGAAAGUGUCAAAGACAUUGCUGAUAUAAACCUAUGAUAUAAGUUUCAUAAAAUUCUGGCAAGAAUUGAACACAUGGGAGCGAUAACAUUGCAAUUUUCCAUAUAAUCAAUAUUUUCAAGGGGCAUAACUCUUUUAAAAAUAAUUGAUUGGCACUCUUCAAGUACAUAGAUGAUAUAAUCCAUAAUAUAGAUUUCAUAAAAAUCUGGCAAGAAUUGUACACAUUAGAGCGCUUAUAAGGCAAUUUUCCAUAUAAUUAAUAUUUCCAAGGGGCAAAUUAUUGAUCGUCACUGAUUUUCAAAUUCUUCCAAGACAUUUCUAAUAUAAACCUAUGAUUCAAGUUUCAUAAAAUUCUGGCAAGAAUUGUACAUAUGAGAGCACUAACCAUGCAAUUCUCCAUAUAAUUUAUUUUUCAAAGAGGCAUAACUCUUUAAAAAAUAAAAGAUUGGCACUGAUUUUCAAACUUGUCCAAGACAUUGCUGAUAUAAACCUAUGAUAUCAGUUUCAUAAAAAUCUGGCAAGAAUUGAUUACAUGAGAGCGCUAACAAUGCAAUUUUCCAUAAAAUUAAUGUUUCCAAGGGGCAUAACUCUUUUAAUAAAAUGCUCCACUGGGCGUAGCUUGAUACGACCGCAGAGGUUGAACCCUGAACAGUUGGGGCAAGUAUGGACACAACAUUCAAGCUUGAUACAGCUUUGCAUUUGGAUUGUGAUUAAAUAUUUGACACAGCAUAGGUUUCUGACACAGAAUGAAUGUGGUCUAAGAACUUAAAAAUUUUAAAUUGGACAUUCACCUAUUAUGGUCCAAUAUCCAAAAUCUAAAUACAUGGUUAGAUUCAGCAUAUCAAAGAACCCAUUGAAAUCAAUUUUUGAUGAAAUCAAACAAAGUUUAAUUUUGGACCCUUUUGACCUCAAUGUGGACAAAGUUGAUAACGGGGCCCAAAAAUCAAAAAUCUAAAUACAUGGUUAGAUUCAGCAUAUCAAAGAACCCCAUAUAUUCAAUUUUUGUUGAAACCAAACAAAGUUUAAUUUUGGACCCCGAUUUGGACCAACUUGAAAACUGGGCCCAUAAUCAAAAAUCUAAAUACAUGUUUAGAUUCAGCAUAUCAAAGAACCCUUAGAAUUCAAUUUUUGUUAAAAUCAAACUAAGUUUAAUUUUGGACCCUUUGGACCUUAAUGUAGACCAAUUUGAAAACAGAACCAAAAAUUAAGAAUCUAAAUACACGGUUAGAUUCGGCAUAUCAAAGAACCCCAAUAAUUCAAUUUUUGAUGAAAUCAAACAAAGUUUAAUUUUGGACCCUUUGGACCUCAAUUUAAAAACGGGGCCCAAAAUCCAAAAACUAAAUACACGGUUAGAUUCAGCAUAUUAAAGAACCCCAAGAAUUCAAGAAUAAAACCCCAUUGAAAUUGGUCAAGAAAUAAGCAAUUUAUACGAAGUAUCUUCUUUUGCACAAUACUGUGCAAUUAAAUAUUUCUUGCUAUUGCGCAAUACUGUACAAUUGACAAUUUCUUGCUAUUGCGCAAUAUUGUGCUAUUGGAUAUUUCUUGCUAUUGCGCAAUACUGUGCAAUUGAAGAUUUCUUGCUAUUGCCCAAUACUGUGCAAUUGAAGAUUUCUUGCUAUUGUGCAAUACUGUGCAACUGAAAAUUUCUUGCUAUUGCACAAUACUUAUUAUAUAAUAAUUUACACAUCCUGUUUGGUGUGUAUCUCCUACCAUAUCAUUAUUAUUUGCUUUUAAAUAUAAAUCAGAAAUAACCAACUUAAAAUGGAAAAUUUUAAAAGAAAAAAAAAAAGGAAAAAAAGAAAAAAAAGGAAAAAAAAGAAAA